AUCACUUCUUGACCUUUUGGCUAAGAUCAAGUGUAGUAUCUAUGUCUCUUCCUCUGUUUCUCUCUCUCUCUCUCUCUCUCAUUUACUGAACAUUCCAAGUAAAUAAAGUUCUUGGUUACCAAGAAUGAAUCAGUGUUGCUCCAUUAUUUCUGAUAUAUUCACCAUAU
rnacentral:snRNA from 1 species